GGAGGAGGAAGAAGAAGAGUCGGCGGCCCAGUCGACGCCGCGUUCCCCUCGGCUAUCGCUGAAGCUCUGAUAACGGGACCGGAGCGUUCGCGUGAUGUGCACCUGUGGCAGGAAUGUGGCGCGGCGCCGGUGCGGUGCGAUGUGAGUGCUUCUGCGACGCGACGACGACGGCGGAGAUGGCGACGGCGGCGCGCGUGGCGUGAUAGCGCGAGCCUGCAGGGCGCCGGGGCGCCUGCGCAGAGCCGGCCUCACGGGAGUGCGAGCGGUAGACGGCAUGCUGCCAGCCGCGCGUGCCCACACGUUGCACAGUUCGCACUGAGUCCGUGCACCGUGAAGCAUGCUAUACGAGACGAAAGCCAUAAACUCUGUGGGAACGUGCUACUCAACAGUGCCAGCUGUCUCUCAACACGGACCUGCGUCACUCAGGAACAUGUCUUCGAAGCGCAAGUCGCCGCCCACGAAGCUGCAGGAGGGCGGCUGCGGCGACGACGAGCCGUGCCCGCCCCUAGGCGCCUCCCACGCG